ACUAAGCGUACACGGUGGAUGCCCUGGCAGUCAGAGGCGAUGAAGGACGUGCUAAUCUGCGAUAAGCGUCGGUGAGGUGAUAUGAACCGUUAUAACCGGCGAUUUCCGAAUGGGGAAACCCAGUGUGAUUCGUCACACUAUCAUUAACUGAAUCCAUAGGUUAAUGAGGCGAACCGGGGGAACUGAAACAUCUAAGUACCC
rnacentral:rRNA from 1 species